rnacentral:rRNA from 1 species
UCCCCAGACUCCUACGGGAGGCAGCAGUGAGGAAUAUUGGUCAAUGGGCGGAAGCCUGAACCAGCCAAGUCGCGUGAGGGAUUAAGGCCCUAUGGGUCGUAAACCUCUUUUGUCAGGGAGCAAUGGCGUCCACGUGUGGGCGUAUGGAGAGUACCUGAAGAAAAAGCAUCGGCUAACUCCGUGCCAGCAGCCGCGGUAAUACGGAGGAUGCGAGCGUUAUCCGGAUUUAUUGGGUUUAAAGGGUGCGUAGGCGGGCUGUUAAGUCGGCGGUAAAAUGGGGGGGCCAACCCCGGGCCUGCCGUUGAAACUGGCGGCCUCGAGUGGGCGAGAAGUAUGCGGAAUUCAUGGUGUAGCGGUGAAAUGCUUAGAUAUCAUGAAGAACUCCGAUCGCGAAGGCAAGUGUCCGGGGUGCAACUGACGCUGAGGCUCGAAAGUGCGGGUAUCAAACAGGAUUAGAUACCCGUGUA